AAUAAGUGCAGUUUUAGCAUUGUUCAUGUCUAACGUUUGACCGUUCGUCUUAUUUGAAAAAAAAUUAUGAUUAGUAUUUUUAUUGUUAUUAGAUGAUAAAACAUGAAUAGUAUUUUAUGUGUGACUAUUUUUUAAAUAUUUUUUAUAAUUUUUUUAAAUAAGAUGGAUGAUCAAAACGCUCAGCACGUAUAUUUAUAGCUGCACUUAUU
rfam:Oryza rufipogon genomic scaffold, chr02